rnacentral:rRNA from 1 species
ACGUUAGCGGCGGACGGGUGAGUAACACGUGGGUAACCUACCUAUAAGACUGGGAUAACUUCGGGAAACCGGAGCUAAUACCGGAUAAUAUUUCGAACCGCAUGGUUCGAUAGUGAAAGAUGGUUUUGCUAUCACUUAUAGAUGGACCUGCGCCGUAUUAGCUAGUUGGUAAGGUAACGGCUUACAAAGGCGACGAUACGUAGCCGACCUGAGAGGGUGAUCGGCCACACUGGAACUGAGACACGGUCCAGACUCCUACGGGAGGCAGCAGGG